GACGAACGCUGGCGGCGUGCUUAACACAUGCAAGUCGAACGGAAAGGCCCUGCUUUUGUGGGGUGCUCGAGUGGCGAACGGGUGAGUAACACGUGAGUAACCUGCCCUUGACUUUGGGAUAACUUCAGGAAACUGGGGCUAAUACCGGAUAGGAGCUCCUGCUGCAUGGUGGGGGUUGGAAAGUUUCGGCGGUUGGGGAUGGACUCGCGGCUUAUCAGCUUGUUGGUGGGGUAGUGGCUUACCAAGGGUUUGACGGGUAGCCGGCCUGAGAGGGUGACCGGCCACAUUGGGACUGAGAUACGGCCCAGACUCCUACGGGAGGCAGCAGUGGGGAAUAUUGCACAAUGGGCGGAAGCCUGAUGCAGCAACGCCGCGUGCGGGAUGACGGCCUUCGGGUUGUAAACCGCUUUCGCAUGUGACGAAGCGUGAGUGACGGUAAUGGGUAAAGAAGCACCGGCUAACUACGUG
rnacentral:rRNA from 1 species